UACGUAGGUGACCAGCGUUGUCCGGAUUUACUGGGCGUAAAGAGCGCGCAGGCGGUCGUUCAAGUCGAGUGUGAAAGCCCCCGGCUCAACUGGGGAGGGUCACUCGAUACUGAUCGACUUGAAGGCAGGAGAGGUAAGCGGAAUUCCUGGUGUAGCGGUGAAAUGCGUAGAUAUCAGGAGGAACACCUGCGGUGUAGACGGCUUACUGGACCAUAACUGACGCUGAGGCACGAAAGCGUGGGUAGCAAACAGG
rnacentral:rRNA from 1 species